UAUAAGUCUAUGUUUCAUACUCUCGCUCAGUCAUGAAAAACCGAAUAUCAUGAGUGGCAACUACAUUGAAAUUUGAGGUUGGAGAUUCGAGAUUUCAGAGCUGAAAUUUGAAAUUGGAGAUGAGAUCUUAGAUUUGAGAAAGGACUAUGAAAAUAUUCGGACCUAAAUGUUUUGCGGAUGAAAAUUUCAAUGAAGCUGCAUCUGUGGUAUCACAACAAUGCCCUUGCAAGUACAAGAUGCCUCGAGAGAAUCGGACCGUCCGUUGGACAAAACGAUUCUUCGGUAUAUAUACGUAUGUAAAAACGCGUCGCACUUUUAUUUAGAAAAAAAAAAAAAACGGAUGUGAACGUGUGCCAAUCAUAAAAGAGAAAAGUUCCGAUCGGCGAUUGAGGGAUUACAUAAAAAUUUUGGUCCUUUGCCCGUCGCUCUCAUUUGUUGCUUACGCAUUUGUUCUCCACGCUCAUGAUCGCACGAGAGGAAGACGAACGAGUCGAACACGCGCAAACGCGCGCGCAACAAACGCAGCAUCGUGUGUAUGUACGUAGUAAUAAUAAUAUUCACAUCGCAUCGCAUCGAAAUUUUCUAAAGGCCUCCGUUACCUUUGCAGCUGCACUCUCCGGGCAUUUCCGUUUUUUUUUCUUUUUUUGAAAUUAAGAGAGAUUUUUAUCAAAAUAAAUUUUUAACAAAUCACAUAGCAGCCCAAUAAAUACCUUAAAACGUCUAACAGCGUUAUCGUCUACUGUUUCACGAUAUUAUUUAUAAUAUAUAUAAAAAAUUCGGGAGAGAAGGAAGAAGACGGGAAAGAAGAGAGAGAAACUUUGUGUUAUUAUGCUUCUUACAGAUCGAGCUAUCUUUUCAAACAAAAAUAGCCAGAUGUACUAAAAAGAAGAAAAGGAAGAGGAAAGAAAUAAUGCAUUAAAAGAUACUUUGUUACACACUGUAAGUAAAUAAUAAUUAGGUACUCAUCUGUCAUGGAAGAGAGAUCGCGUCAAGUAUAACAACAAUGUCGUUAAUUUAUAAUCAAAGUAUUAAAAAGAAUCUACAUUAAGAGAGAGAAGAUUAUACAUACAAUUAUAGGAUACAAUGUUACCAAAAUAGUCACUUUUGCGUAACCGUUUGUUUCGUUCAAAUCUUUAGAAAUUUCAUGAGCAAAAUUUCCAGGUUCGUGCAAAUUCAGAAUAAUUCACAAAAUUGAUAAGUUUUAAAAUUUUGUAUUCUCAAGAAGAAAACAGUUUGCAACAGCAGAACAUUUGCAAUAUCGUGCAGUCAAUUGUUUGAUUCAUAAUUCCAAAAACCGUUUUGUCUUCUCGCAGUUGAGAAAUAAAAUCAACCAACAAGUGAUCUUAAUUUCUCUCUGCUUGUUUCGUUUUCUUCUCUCUAAAAAUUUCACAUUUUUAUUCUAUUUAGUCAUUGUUAUUCUUGGAAGUUUAUCGAUAAAAAAAAAAAAACUCAGCUUUACUCUAUAUACGCUCGAGUUCGCAUAAUAUCCGCGUGCGCGCAGGCUGAUGCAUGUUCAUAUCACCCACAAAAAAGUCAGUCCGCAUGUUUGUUAAAAAACACAAAAAAGCAAGUAAAAUAAAAGAAAUCAAUCUCGUUACAAAAAUGAAUUAUUAUGAUGAAGGAGGCGAGGGUUCGGAAGGACGGGAAAAGAUCUGAUCCGAAAUAUUUCAGGAGACGAAGUAGCCACGUCAACAGCAACAAAGACGUUUUUCACAAGAGAGCUUUGUUUUCUUCGUCGCAGCUACAUCGCGCAACGCCUAUAAUGUCCAUUUACACUAUUACUAUUCAACAAUUCAAAAUACUUAUGAUACACACAACCUUGAAUAAUCUCAUAACAGCUGCUGUGGCAUUAUUAGCCCGAACUAACUUACGCAUUACAUCAUAUAGAUACAAAAGUAAUUUCUCGCUAUUGCUAAAAAUUCGCACGUGUGUUUUUUAUUUCAUUGUCAGUUUUUUUUUUAUUUUAUUUUUAUAACGCUCUUGACUGAUCUUUUUUUUUUUUCAUCAGUUGAAAUAUCCUCGUGUAUCUGCUCUAUUGCUCUGGCAAAGACACACAUUCUUUUCUCCCACGUAACUCUCGAAGUACAAUGUAACUAAAAUAGGCGAAUUAUGUUGCUCAUGCCAAAGUCAAUUUUGUAAAAAGAAAACAAAACCAAAAAAAUCUUUUUCGUAUUGGAGAUUUGCUCCUCGAACAAUGAUAGAUAUUAAAACGUGAAAAAAUUAACAUUCAAGAAAUUUCUAAACAUGUCAAGAUAAUAAUGUCCAAUCAGAGCAAAUCUUGCAUUAAAAGUAAAACAUGUCAGUGAACUCGUUCAUUCACAGUGAACUCUGAGCAUUUUAACAAUUUCAUUUCAGGAAGGAAUAAUAUAUCCUCUACAGAAACAUACGUGACAAAUUAUGUCCUUUAUAAUUUUUUGAGCACAGUACAGCGCGCGAAGAUAAAUCUAUUCCAUUCAUUUUUUUGUUUUUUUUGUUUUUUGGCACUCAUUAUCUGAGCUGCGUAUUUUAGUUACAUCAUCAAGUUCGUUUCUGUUCAAAAAUAACGCAGUACACGAGAAUACCGCAAUAUAUAAAUUGCAGAGAUUUUACAACAGACAGUACUUUACAAUAGAGAGUAUGAAGAUUACUUUUUUUUUUUUUUUUUUGAUCAAUCGUCAAAGCUUCUUGCGAGUCGCCGACGCAACUCUGGUGCAAAAUAUAAAUCUGCGCGGUUACUCUCGCAAAUUUCAUCGCCACAUGUAUCGUAUCGUAUUUAUUACAUUCGCAAUAGAAAAAUAAUAUUCAGUCGGAUCAAUAGUUCGGAUUAAUACUUCAUUCUUUUUUUAAUUGAAAGGAAGAGCUCUUUGUGGACGUGUAAAUAGUCACGCAGUACACGAUGGCGUCAAAGCUAAACCGAACUGGUAAUGGUCAACUUAACAACAUGCAAUUAUGCGUCAUCCGCAGAAAGUUGCUCUCUGCGGACUUCUCAAGGCUCUUAGACAACCGAUCUAGUCACAUUGAAUUAUGAUGUCACACACGCACACACACAGAAGCGAGAUGUAGUUCAAUUUCUCUCUUCGUAUAAUUUUACAUUCAAAAAAUACGCCAAUCUGUUUAAUCGCAUCGAGAGAAGAAGAACACUCUUCUCUCGGUUUAAAAAUCUGUAAGUGACUAAAAUCAAUUUUUUUUUCUUUCGUAUUACAUAUCGAAAAAAAUUACAUCAGGCUGCGAUGAUAAAUGCGCUCUCUCAUCGCGAGAUGAUUGACAAAAAAAAAAUCAGAACCAUUUCAGCUGCCGAGUUCAGUUCAACUCCGACGUCUCAAUCAAGCUCUUCCUCUUUCUGCGCAUACAUAUUAUUAUGUAUCUUAUAAAAAUUUCGUAUCGUACAAUGUUUCACAAUAAUGAAGUUUACGCUUCCGUCGAGGAACGGAUUAUUCGACGUUGCGUGAAUUCUCCGAAGGCGGGCAAAGGCACCCAAAGCGCCGACAACGCUGUUCGCGAAUCAAGGCGAAAUACAGGCAGAUAGAUGCGAAUAAAAAACGAGCAUUAAAGACAUACGAAUGCCUAAGUCGUAUCAUUACGAACUAAUUUCUCGAACCCUUACGUUCCCAGUGAAAUUGUCGCCGCGCUUAUUUUUAAUUUUAUUUUAAUCAUUUUAUUUUAUUUUAUUUUAUUUUUUUGGGAAAAACGUGAUACUUUUGCGUACACGAUUCCCCAGACGCCCGUGGGAAAGGAAGGGUUGUAGGCGGAAAAGCCUGCAUUGCGUGUGUUAUUUAAGUCACAUGAUAUUUAUAAUGUGAGAUAAUGUAAUAAAUUAUUAAGCCAGUCGAUCGCCGAAAUUCGCACGUAAAAGAUGCUGUGUACGCGCGUGUGUGUGUUUUUCUUCUCCGUGUGUACGUACGUAUGUAUAUGCAUGUAUAUUCAUGCAUGUAUGAAUGUGAGCGUGUGUAUGUAAUGUAUGCAUGUAUGCGUAUAUGUGAAAUAUAAUAAAUUAGCGUUUAAAUAAUAUUCCAAGGGGGAGGCGCACAGAAGGGAAAAAAACUGUAAAAAUAGACGUACAAAAAAACGAGAAGAAGGGGAGCAAGGGAGCGGGCAAGAAGGGAAGAGGAGCGAGGGAAGUGUGAAGUAAAUAAUAAUAAUUUAAUAAUUAAGUAAUUGUAUCAUCUUCACCUUCUUCGUGUCGGGGUUUUAAGUAUCGGUUAAACAAUCACUUAUCGACUAAAAUCAAACCCGUAGAAUACUGAUACAUAAAAAAAAAAAAAAAACAC